UACGGAGGGUGCAAGCGUUACUCGGAAUCACUGGGCGUAAAGAGCGCGUAGGCGGGAUAGCAAGUCAGAUGUGAAAACUAUGGGCUCAACCCAUAGCCUGCAUUUGAAACUGUAUUUCUUGAGUGCUGGAGAGGCAAUCGGAAUUCCGUGUGUAGCGGUGAAAUGCGUAGAUAUACGGAGGAACACCAGUGGCGAAGGCGGAUUGCUGGACAGUAACUGACGCUGAGGCGCGAAAGCGUGGGGAGCAAACAGG
rnacentral:rRNA from 1 species